CUGUCGGAUCGUAGAUACUGUUCCCCACCAAGCCUGCCACCUCCGGACUGCUUCAGCCCCAUGGACUCUGCUGCUUCCCCCUCCUGGAUUUCCCCUCCGCUUGGACUCUGUUGUGUUCCUGUUUGUCUGUUCAUGGAUUUUCCCCAGCCUGUUUUCCCCUCAGUUGUCAGUUUCCCCAUAUUGUGGUGGGUGGGGGUGCAGCUGUGGCCAGAUGUUUCCAAUCCAGUCAGAUGGAACUGGUGUGCCGGCAGGUGGGGGUGAUAAGGAUUUCCACCUCUACUCCCAUAGAAGCAGACUCUGUUCAUCACUUGUCACCAGACAGUCUUAAAGCCACAUGCUUUUGCCCUGUUAUCUGGAUUCCUGCCUGCUUGCACUACCCCUGAUUCUCCUGUCACCUAACCCUGAUCAGCUCAUUCUGUACCCUGGUUCCUCCACUCCUGCCACCCUCGUCUGUCUGGACCCCUUUCCAUUUUGGAUUGAGGCCUGGUUGUAGCACCUGCCCACCACCACCCAAACGCCACCUUACCCCUGCCACCCUCCUAUGGACCUCCCCCUCUGCGGUUGCCAUCCGCUAAGUUCCUGUUCAAUCUCGGUGCCAGACCUGUUGUUAGCGUAGAGUUGCCCCUGGUUAAUUCUAGCCUUGCUGAACUGUUAUUUAUACUGCGUUUGGUUACUUCAGGGUGUGUUCAGUCUCUGCCAUCCUGCCUGAGUUUUACCUUACAUGGGUUAGUGAGGUUCAUUCUGUUAGUUAUAAGUACUCUGGUUGUUGGUAUCUGCCGGACCACUAGAGGACUAUUGGUUCUUCGUACUCGUAGCUACUUCCUUUUCAUUUGUAGUUCUUUAAUGGAACUUGUAGUUUUGUUUGUUCUGCCUUGCAUUGUAAGUUGUUUAUAAUUGUCUAUGCCUGUUGUCGUGUCUCUUGCAUGUACUUGAGCCUCUGAUUAAGGGAUCCGUAACAUAUACAUAAAAUAUUUAUUUUCUUUGCUUUGAUUGUAUUAAUUACAACUUAUAGAGAGCUUGAUUGUGUUUCUGUAGGACUCAGUUCCUGUUUUAUUUAGUCAUUGUUGUAUUGUUUUAAUUUCCUUCAACUCAUUUUGUUCUGUAAAGUACCUUGUGUUGGAUUUCAUUUGUAUCAAACAUUGUAAACAAACAAAGCCUAAAAACUGGAACUAAACUGAUUAUACCUGGACUUUCCAAUCAGCCUUAUUGUGUGAACAUAGUUACGAAUAGCAGAACUUUCUGAAGUUUGACCCAAUGGACUGAGUCCAUCUGCAUGUCUGCAUCAUGGCUUCACAUGGAAAAGAAUUACCAGAUAACGGGAACAAUAAAAUCUGAC
ensembl:lncRNA